UACGUAGGGGGCAAGCGUUUGUCCGGAAUCAUUGGGCGUAAAGCGCGUGUAGGCGGUUACGUAAGUCUGCUGUGAAAGUCGGAGGCUCAACCUUCGAAAGCCGGUGGAUACUGCGUGACUAGAGUACGGAAGAGGAGAGUGGAAUUCCUGGUGUAGCGGUGAAAUGCGCAGAUAUCAGGAGGAACACCAACGGCGAAGGCAGCUCUCUGGGACGUUACUGACGGCUGAGACGUGAAAGCGUGGGGGAGCAAACAGG
rnacentral:rRNA from 1 species